rnacentral:rRNA from 1 species
AUUGAACGCUGGCGGCAUGCCUUACACAUGCAAGUCGAACGGUAACAGGUCUUCGGAUGCUGACGAGUGGCGAACGGGUGAGUAAUACAUCGGAACGUGCCUAGUAGUGGGGGAUACCUACUCGAAAGAGUGGCUAAUACCGCAUGAGAUCUAUGGAUGAAAGCAGGGGAUCGCAAGACCUUGUGCUACUAAAGCGGCCGAUGGCAGAUUAGGUAGUGGGUGGGAUAAAAGCUUACCAAGCCGACGAUCUGUAGCUGGUCUGAGAGGACGAUCAGCCACACUGGGACUGAGACACGGCCCAGACUCCUACGGGAGGCAGCAGUGGGGAAUUUUGGACAAUGGGCGCAAGCCUGAUCCAGCAAUGCCGCGUGCAGGAUGAAGGCCUUCGGGUUGUAAACUGCUUUUGUACGGAACGAAAAGCCCCGGGUUAAUACCCUGGGGUCAUGACGGUACCGUAAGAAUAAGCACCGGCUAACUACGUGCCAGCCGCCGCGGUAA